ensembl:misc_RNA Metazoa_SRP Metazoan signal recognition particle RNA
GCCGGGCGUGGUGCCUCAUGCCUGUAAUCCCAGCACUUUGGGAGGCAGAGGCAGGUGGAUCACUUGAGGUCAGGAGUUCAAAAAUAGCCUGACCAACAUGGUGAAACCCUGUCUCUA